rnacentral:rRNA from 1 species
AUGAACGCUAGCUACAGGCUUAACACAUGCAAGUCGAGGGGCAGCGGGAAGGAAGCUUGCUUUCUUCGCCGGCGACCGGCGCACGGGUGAGUAACGCGUAUCGAACCUGCCUCAUACUCGGGAAUAACCUUGCGAAAGUAAGACUAAUACCCGAUGUUUUCAUCUUCUCGCAUGAGGAGUUGAACAAAGUUUUUUCGGUAUGAGAUGGCGAUGCGUCCCAUUAGCUUGUUGGCGGGGUAACGGCCCACCAAGGCAUCGAUGGGUAGGGGUUCUGAGAGGAAGGUCCCCCACAUUGGAACUGAGACACGGUCCAAACUCCUACGGGAGGCAGCAGUGAGGAAUAUUGGUCAAUGGACGGAAGUCUGAACCAGCCAAGUAGCGUGCAGGAUGACGGCCCUCUGGGUUGUAAACUGCUUUUAGUUGGGAAUAAAGUGCGGUACGUGUACCGUUUUGUAUGUACCAUCAGAAAAAGGACCGGCUAAUUCCGUGCCAGCAGCCGCGGUAAUACGGAAGGUCCAGGCGUUAUCCGGAUUUAUUGGGUUUAAAGGGAGCGCAGGCGGACUCUUAAGUCAGUUGUGAAAUACGGCGGCUCAACCGUCGGACUGCAGUUGAUACUGGGAGUCUUGAGUACACGCAGAGAUACUGGAAUUCAUGGUGUAGCGGUGAAAUGCUCAGAUAUCAUGAGGAACUCCGAUCGCGAAGGCAGGUAUCUGGAGUGUAACUGACGCUGAGGCUCGAAAGUGCGGGUAUCAAACAGGAUUAGAUACCCUGGUAGUCCGCACAGUAAACGAUGAAUACUCGCGGUUGGCGAUAUACAGUCAGCCGCCAAGCGAAAGCGUUAAGUAUUCCACCUGGGGAGUACGCCGGCAACGGUGAAACUCAAAGGAAUUGACGGGGGCCCGCACAAGCGGAGGAACAUGUGGUUUAAUUCGAUGAUACGCGAGGAACCUUACCCGGGCUUGAACUGCCAGUGACGCAUGCAGAGACGCAUGUUUCUUCGGACACUGGCGGAGGUGCUGCAUGGUUGUCGUCAGCUCGUGUCGUGAGAUGUUGGGUUAAGUCCCGCAACGAGCGCAACCCUUAUCCUCAGUAGCCAGCAGUAAGAUGGGCACUCUGUGGAGACUGCCAGGGAUAACCUGGAGGAAGGUGGGGAUGACGUCAAAUCAGCACGGCCCUUACGUCCGGGGCUACACACGUGUUACAAUGGGCGGUACAGAGGGCAGCUACCUGGUGACAGGACGCCAAUCCUCAAAGCCGUUCUCAGUUCGGACUGGAGUCUGCAACCCGACUCCACGAAGCUGGAUUCGCUAGUAAUCGCGCAUCAGCCAUGGCGCGGUGAAUACGUUCCCGGGCCUUGUACACACCGCCCGUCAAGCCAUGAAAGCCGGGAGCACCUGAAGACCGUGACCGCAAGGGUCGGUCUAGGGCGAUACCGGUGAUUGGGGCU